rnacentral:lncRNA from 1 species
CUAAUUUUUAAAAUUUCAUUUGAAGAUCAAAUUCAUGCUGGUGAGAAGGGUAGUAGGAGCCUAUUACCAUAGCUAGAGAUGAUGCCACUUCAGAAAAACAAUCUUAGUCAAUAAAUAGGAAUUUUUCGGUUUGCUUAGAUUUUACCUAGCAGCUAUUAUGUCAGCAGGACCACCAGGAUAUGGGAAAACAGGACUAGAAGAUGUACGACAGCAAAGACAUGCAGAGACAUGCAGAGACACCUGGAAGGAAGCUAGGCCCUCAACAAAUUGGAUUGCAACCUAAUAUUUAAGGAAGAUUCCCUGAAGGAGGAGACGCCUGGUGCAGACACUGGGAAUGAAGUUGGUCUGCAGGUUCUGUGGUGUGUGGUGCUGAACUCGUGGAGACUUUCCCCAUCUUUCUGCAUAAAUAGUUCUAAAGAUCUAUAUUGUACAGACUAUGUUCUCUUACCACAGUGCAAUUUUGUUAGAAAUAAAUUACAAAAGAAUAAUUGCUGGGAGAGAAUGCUGCAUGGAUUUCUCAUGUUUCUGUAUGUCUUUUGAGCAGAGGCAUUGUUAGCUUUUGUUCUGGCCUGUAUUUUCAAGGAUGUUUAUAUAGCAAACAGCCUUGGAAAAUAAAGAUAGUAUCUCCCUUCAUGGCAGAGGGCAGGUUUAUUUGCUGUCCAGUAAAAUGAAGAUAAUAUCUCCCACUGGGGCAGAAGUUGGGUGGGUUGGCUCACAGCCUCCUUAUUGGAGUUUCCUAAACUCAGGGUUCCUCAGCUGUGACUUAACCCCACCUCCAGCAUCCUCCUGGACCCAGGUAUGUAUCACUCUUGUGGGGCUUGUGAAGCAAGGGGAACUAAUGAGAAAUGAAGUAAUUAAGUUCUUUGUCUCUGAUCCAGGAGUCUCAUGUCUUCUGCCAGCAUUUUUGAAACUGUGACUGGC